UACGGAGGGGGCUAGCGUUGUUCGGAAUUACUGGGCGUAAAGCGCGCGUAGGCGGAUCUGCAAGUCAGAGGUGAAAGCCCUGGGCUCAACCUGGGAACUGCCUUUGAAACUGACGCGCUAGAGUCCGGGAGAGGAUAGUGGAACUCCCAGUGUAGAGGUGAAAUUCGUAGAUAUUGGGAAGAACACCGGUGGCGAAGGCGACCAUCUGGACCGGUACUGACGCUGAGGCGCGAAAGCGUGGGGAGCAAACAGG
rnacentral:misc_RNA from 1 species